rnacentral:rRNA from 1 species
GACGAACGCUGGCGGCGUGCUUAACACAUGCAAGUCGAACGGAAAGGCCCUUCGGGGUACUCGAGUGGCGAACGGGUGAGUAACACGUGGGUGAUCUGCCCUGCACUUUGGGAUAAGCCUGGGAAACUGGGUCUAAUACCGAAUAGGACCACGCGCUUCAUGGUGUGUGGUGGAAAGCUUUUGCGGUGUGGGAUGGGCCCGCGGCCUAUCAGCUUGUUGGUGGGGUAAUGGCCUACCAAGGCGACGACGGGUAGCCGGCCUGAGAGGGUGACCGGCCACACUGGGACUGAGAGACGGCCCAGGCUCCUACGGGAGGCAGCAGUGGGGAAUAUUGCACAAUGGGCGCAAGCCUGAUGCAGCGACGCCGCGUGAGGGAUGACGGCCUUCGGGUUGUAAACCUCUUUCAAUAGGGACGAAGCGCAAGUGACGGUACCUAUAGAAGAAGCACCGGCCAACUACGU